rnacentral:lncRNA from 1 species
GGAACAAUAAAGCAGAACUGCAGACAGGGUGUUGGGCUUGAGAUUCUCUGAGACUGUUCGGCACCAGCAUCCCUGAAGGGAAUGUACCUAAGAGUAAACUUACUGGGUCAUAUGGCGACUCCGUUUGCCUGCAGAAGAAUGGGACUGUGAUUCCUAGAGAAUGCCUCCAAGACUUGCAGCCUGGGUGACCGCUUCAGUGUCUGUGGAGCCCUCAUGGUCAAGACGCCAUUGUGGAAGUUGUAGCAGGAUGGACCUUAAGUAUCCCCAUUGUCCCAGCCUCCUGAUGUUUACUUCUUUGUCAUAUCUCCUCCCUCUGACCUGGGUGGGGACUGUAACUUGCUUCUGACCAAUUGAAUAUGAAUGGGACGUCACUUUGUUGAUUAUGUUACAUUACAUAGGGCUCUGGUAGACUGGAGACUCUCCUUGUGCCUUGAUGAAGUACACAGCUAUGCUGGAGAAAUCCAUGUGGCAAGGAACUGCAGGUGGCCCCUGGAACCUGAGGACAGUCAGUGAAGAGCUGAGGCUCCAGUUAUGUAGCUGCAAAGAGAUGAAUUCUGUCAACAACUGGGAUGAACUUGGAAGUGGAUUUUUCCCUAGUUGAACCUUUGAUGAGAAUGUGGCCCAGCUAAUGCCUUGAUUGCAGCCUUUGAAACUGAGCAGAGGACCAGCUAAUUCGUGCCCAGACUUCUGACCCACGAAGACUGAGAUAAUAAUAUGUGGUGUUUGUGUAGCUAAGUUUGUGGCAAUUUGUUAUGCAACAUUAAGAACAGUCGAGAAUUUGGUUCCAUUAUAUAAUCUGGGCUGGAUGCCACUGAGUU